rnacentral:lncRNA from 1 species
AGGGGAUAGGGCCGUGGUCGCUGCUAAGCACGGCUGGUUAGGAGUGAUGGAGGACGAUGCUCCUGUGAUUUAUGGUCUUGAGUUUCAGUCCAGAGCAUUGGCUGCUGUGCAAGGAGGCACAGAUGAUGUCAUGUUCAUGGUGGGAACCCAGUCACUGAAGUAUGACAACCAGAUUCAUCUGCUCCAGCUGGAUGAAGACACAGGAGCCCUCAAUAAACAGAUCUUCCCUCACCCUGCUGG